rnacentral:rRNA from 1 species
AGCAGCGAACGGGUGAGUAACGCGUGGGGAAUCUGCCUUUGAGCGGGGGACAACAUUUGGAAACGAAUGCUAAUACCGCAUAAAAACUUUAAACACAAGUUUUAAGUUUGAAAGAUGCAAUUGCAUCACUCAAAGAUGAUCCCGCGUUGUAUUAGCUAGUUGGUGAGGUAAAGGCUCACCAAGGCGAUGAUACAUAGCCGACCUGAGAGGGUGAUCGGCCACAUUGGGACUGAGACACGGCCCAAACUCCUACGGGAGGCACCAGUAGGGAAUCUUCCUCCAUGGACGAACAAUGACCAAACAACGCCCCCCCGGGGGAGAAAAAGAUGGUUUUCGAAUCAUAAAAUUCUGUUGGAAAAGAAGAACGUUGGUGAGAGUGGAAAGCUCAUCAAGUGACGGUAACUACCCAGAAAGGGACGGCUAACUACGUGCCAGCAGCCGCGGUAAUACGUAGGUCCCGAGCGUUGUCCGGAUUUAUUGGGCGUAAAGCGAGCGCAGGUGGUUUAUUAAGUCUGGUGUAAAAGGCAGUGGCUCAACCAUUGUAUGCAUUGGAAACUGGUAGACUUGAGUGCAGGAGAGGAGAGUGGAAUUCCAUGUGUAGCGGUGAAAUGCGUAGAUAUAUGGAGGAACACCGGUGGCGAAAGCGGCU